rnacentral:rRNA from 1 species
GACGUAGGGGGCGAGCGUUGUCCGGAUUUACUGGGCGUAAAGCGUGCGCAGGCGGUUUGCUAAGACAGGUGUGAAAUCCCCGGGCUUAACCUGGGAACUGCGCUUGUUACUGGCAAGCUGGGAGUGUGGCAGAGGGGGGGUGGAAUUCCGACGUGUAGCAGUGAAAUGCGUAGAUAUCGGGAGGAACACCAGUGGCGAAGGCGACUACCUGGCCUGUU